AGAGUUUGAUCAUGGCUCAGGACGAACGCUGACGGUGUGCUUUAGGCAUGCAAGUCGAACGAGAAAGCCCUUCGGGGUGAGUAAAGUGGCGAACGGGUGAGUAACACGUGGGCAACCUGCCCCCCGCAGGGGGACAACCGGAGGAAACUCCGGCUAAUACCCCGUACGCUUGUUGGAUCGCAUGGUCCGGCAAGGAAAGGUAGCUUCGGCCAUCCGGCGAGGGAUGGGCCCGCGUUGCAUUAGCUAGUUGGUGGGGUAACGGCCUACCAAGGCGACGAUGCGUAGCUGGUCUGAGAGGAUGAUCAGCCACACUGGGACUGAGACACGGCCCAGACUCCUACGGGAGGCAGCAGCCAGGAAUCUUGGGCAAUGGGCGAAAGCCUGACCCAGCAACACCGUGUGGGCGAUGAAGGCCUUAGGGUCGUAAAGCCCUGUUGAUAGGGACGAAGGGCGAAGGGUUAAUAGCCCCUAGCUUGACGGUACCUUUCGAGGAAGCCCCGGCUAACUACGUGCCAGCAGCCGCGGUAAUACGUAGGGGGCGAGCGUUGUCCGGAAUUAUUGGGCGUAAAGAGCGUGUAGGCGGUUCGGUAAGUCUGCUGUGAAAUCCUGGGGCUCAACCCUGGGCGUGCAGCGGAUACUGCCGGGCUAGAGGGUGGUAGAGGCGAGUGGAAUUCCGAGUGUAGCGGUGAAAUGCGCAGAUAUUCGGAGGAACACCAGUAGCGAAGGCGGCUCGCUGGGCCACACCUGACGCUGAGACGCGAAAGCGUGGGGAGCGAACAGGAUUAGAUACCCCGGUAGUCC
rnacentral:rRNA from 1 species